UGGAAAACUGAAAACCUCACAGCUCUUAUAGUAACCGGCAAAAAUUGAAAUGUGAUAAAGUGACAAAAAUAAAGAAACAAAUUCCUAUCUAUGAAAUUUCAUUAAGUAAACUACUCUUUAACUGGAAGAUUGAAUUCCGAAUGUAGUUCAAUAAUGGUGCGCUCAACAGAAUCAAGAUCAUUUAAGUCAUUUGAUGAAUAUGAAGAAUUUAACAGCACUAUCUACUUGUAUCGACCAGAUACUUUUGUUCUUUCUGCUAUGUUAUUGGCAUCAAAAGAAUAUGAGUGGAACCAUGCAAUUGUUCUUGAAGGAAAAAAUAAUGGUGAAGAAAAAGCGAAUAAUAUUUAUUAUAACAAAAUUGUCGAUAUAUUGAAUAUACACAAAAAAAUCUUGAACACCAAAGAAUAUUAUUAAUCGAUCAUGCUAAUUUUAGAUAACAAUUAUACACAGUGGCUUUAAAGUAAACGAUAUAUACCUAUGACAAAACUACAUAUGAUGAUUGUUAAUUAAAAAGACUACCAAAGAAGAAUACUCGUUAUUUUAAAAAGUAUCCAUUUUAGGAUUUAUUAAUAUAGCUUCUAGUGCCGUAUUUGGUUGUUAAAUAUUAAGAGUUUCGUGAUUAAAGACGCUCAUCGUUUUUCAAAUAAUUUGUUACUUGAUUAUUUUUUUUUUAAAUUUGGAAUAAAAUAUCAGUUUCCAAAAUGACUUCAUUGAUGUCUGGCACAUGACAUUAUACAGACGUUUUCCAGCAGAGGGCUCUUUCAUUUUACGUCAGCCAUGCAUUUUACAACAAAAAUAGAUUAAUAAAGAUUUCAAUAUGAUGCAACCUGAAAAAUAUGUCAGGCGUAUCUUUUCAUCGGGUAUGCGCUCAUAAUAGCCAUAUUUGAAAUAUAGUUUGAUACUAACAAUCUGGCAACUCAUGCCCUUAUCUUUGUGUCAGUCCAAUUACUGUCUUCAAAUGUAUAUUAUCAUUAAUAUAAAAUCAUUUCAAUCCAUACUACAAACUUGAAUAUGCCAUAAAAAUUUGUACAAAUGUUAAUGCGCAGAUUUUUUUAAUUAAAACGCUAAUUUUUCAUUGGAAAUCAUUUUUUCAUUUUAUAUUUUAUCUUGUGGCGUCAGAAUAAUGUAAAAAUAUAUGUAAAAUUGCACCACG